rnacentral:rRNA from 1 species
GUAGUCCAUGCCGUAAACGUUGGGAACUAGAUGUGGGGACCAUUCCACGGUCUCCGUGUCGUAGCUAACGCAUUAAGUUCCCCGCCUGGGGAGUACGGCCGCAAGGCUAAAACUCAAAGGAAUUGACGGGGGCCCGCACAAGCGGCGGAGCAUGCGGAUUAAUUCGAUGCAACGCGAAGAACCUUACCAAGGCUUGACAUAUACGAGAACGCACUGGAGACAGUGAACUCUUUGGACACUCGUAUACAGGUGGUGCAUGGUUGUCGUCAGCUCGUGUCGUGAGAUGUUGGGUUAAGUCCCGCAACGAGCGCAACCCUCGUCCUAUGUUGCCAGCACGUAAUGGUGGGAACUCAUGGGAUACUGCCGGGGUCAACUCGGA